ACCCAGUGUGACUCGUCACACUAUCAUUAACUGAAUCCAUAGGUUAAUGAGGCGAACCGGGGGAACUGAAACAUCUAAGUACCCCGAGGAAAAGAAAUCAACCGAGAUUCCCCCAGUAGCGGCGAGCGAACGGGGAGGAGCCCAGAGCCUGAAUCAGCAUGUGUGUUAGUGGAAGCGUCUGGAAAGGCGCGCGAUACAGGGUGACAGCCCCGUACACAAAAGCGCAUGUGCUGUGAGCUCGAUGAGUAGGGCGGGACACGUGGUAUCCUGUCUGAAUAUGGGGGGACCAUCCUCCAAGGCUAAAUACUCCUGACUGACCGAUAGUGAACCAGUACCGUGAGGGAAAGGCGAAAAGA
rnacentral:rRNA from 1 species